UACGAAGGGUGCUAGCGUUGCUCGGAAUUACUGGGCGUAAAGCGCACGUAGGCGGCUUUCUAAGUCGGGGGUGAAAUCCUGGAGCUCAACUCCAGAACUGCCUUCGAUACUGGAGAGCUCGAGUCCGGGAGAGGUGAGUGGAACUGCGAGUGUAGAGGUGAAAUUCGUAGAUAUUCGCAAGAACACCAGUGGCGAAGGCGGCUCACUGGCCCGGUACUGACGCUGAGGUGCGAAAGCGUGGGGAGCAAACAGG
rnacentral:rRNA from 1 species